rnacentral:lncRNA from 1 species
GGCCCGAAAGCUCUAGAAUGCACCCCUCUUCCUCCCCGGGGCCUUCCACCUCCGCGAGUUUUAUGACUUAAAAAAGCCCACAGGCUGGUCUGAAGAGGAAGACAAACAUAAAGAUGAAGUGCUUAAUUCAAGGUCACACAAUGUCGGGGAUGGACCUCCAGAUUUCCUUACUGGUGAGACGUGGUCUUGUAACACAGUGGUUAAGAAUGUGACUUUGGAGCCAGCCUGCUAGGGGCUGAAUUCUGACUCAGCCAUUUACUAACUGUGUGACCUUAGGUCACAGAAUUUUCCACACUCCUUGACAGAGGUGCUUAACCCUUAUCCAUCAGCAUUCUCAGACAGCACCUCCGGUUAGGGACAGUAUCUGACCGUCCGACAUCCCUGCAGCCCCCAUGUGUCACACAGACUCAGCCUCAGGUAGAUGGUUUCCGUAGAUGGUGGCUUUCUUUGGACCCUUGACAUCAACCAGUUACUAUUUGCCAGAGACAGACUCCCAGACUCGGCCAGAGGCUGAUGCCAACUCCUUCCAGCUCUCACGGUAACCAUGAGGCCCCUGCGUGUUUCUGUUGUGGAGGUCCCAGAGGGAACUGUAUGGACAGACACAGCCCGAAGGGCCAUCUGCCUCAAGCCACAGCAGCACAGAAUUCUAAAGAUUGUGGGGAAGGAUGGGGCCAAGGGGACCAGAUGUGCAGAGGUAAUGAAUACCAGGGAAUCAGGAAACCACUGGAUCAGUUCUUUGAGCCACAGAACAACACUCAUCCCAGCAGCUGGGAAGCUAUCUGCAAAAGUCCAUCUGCAGAAAGGGCUUCCUGGUCUUGCGUGUGGCUGGGCCAUUUCUCUGGAUGCAGGUUUUUCAUUAUACAGUCUUCUCAAAGAACCACCUGCUCUCAACACCUUCUCGGUGACUCCAUUUCCCCUCCUCU